AACCAAAGUAUUGUUAUGGGAGAGAGAUGUUCUAGAAACUUCUUUCAGGUGUCUUUUAUCCUUUUCAGGCAUGAGCACCCUUCAGACCAUGUCCAGGAAGUUUGGUCUGUCUGCUGACAGGUAGACAUUCACUCAAGUUUAAAGGGCAUUGAUGAUUCUCAGUAUAUAUUGGAGAGUAUCAGAGAGAGAGAAAAUAGUUAAG
rnacentral:lncRNA from 1 species